GAGCCGCUAGCUCAGCUGGUAGAGCACCGGCCUUUUAAGCCGAGGGUCGUGGGUUCGAUCCCCACGCGGCUCA
rnacentral:tRNA from 2 species